GAUGAACGCUGGCGGCGUGCCUAAUACAUGCAAGUCGAGCGAAUGGAUUAAGAGCUUGCUCUUAUGAAGUUAGCGGCGGACGGGUGAGUAACACGUGGGUAACCUGCCCAUAAGACUGGGAUAACUCCGGGAAACCGGGGCUAAUACCGGAUAACAUUUUGAACCGCAUGGUUCGAAAUUGAAAGGCGGCUUCGGCUGUCACUUAUGGAUGGACCCGCGUCGCAUUAGCUAGUUGGUGAGGUAACGGCUCACCAAGGCAACGAUGCGUAGCCGACCUGAGAGGGUGAUCGGCUACACUGGGACUGAGACACGGCCCAGACUCCUACGGGAGGCAGCAGUAGGGAAUCUUCCGCAAUGGACGAAAGUCUGACGGAGCAACGCCGCGUGAGUGAUGAAGGCUUUCGGGUCGUAAAACCCUGUUGUUAGGGAAGAACAAGUGCUAGUUGAAUAAGCUGGCACCUUGACGGUACCUAACCAGAAAGCCACGGCUAACUACGUGCCAGCAGCCGCAGUAA
rnacentral:rRNA from 1 species